CUCAUGGUUUUCAAUCAGAAUACGACUCGGAGCGCUGAACAAGUUCAAGUCCAAAUCUCGAUCUGUGCUGUUGGCAACAGAUGUGGCAUCGAGAGGACUUGACAUUCCACAUGUUGACUGCGUCAUCAAUUACGACAUCCCCACCCACUCCAAGGACUACAUCCACAGAGUCGGCCGAACAGCCAGAGCAGGGCGAGCUGGGAAAUCCAUCACUUUUGUUACUCAGUAUGAUGUGGAGCUUUUCCAGCGAAUUGAAACUUUAAUUGGGAAGAAACUUCCCGCCUUUCCUACUCAUGAAGAGAAGUGAUGAUGUUGGUGGAGAGGGUGAGCGAGGCCCAAAGGUUUGCCCGGCUGGAAAUGAAAGAGCAAGGUGAGAAAAGGAAAAGGCCUAAAGGUGAUAGAGAUGAAGAUGACACAGAUCAAGCAAGUGGAGUGAGAAAGAAAGUGAAGGGAGGGAGGAAAAAAGAGAGGUGGAGCAGCUUGGAGGGGAGGACGGUAAAACCUUCGACCUUAAGACUACAGAUGCCACAUCAAACAAUGUGGAUUCCCUUUAUUUUUUUUUUUUUAGUAAUUACAGCAUGAAAAUGUCAUGUUUUCCUACAUUUACAGUGUAAGCAAAUGACUAUUUAAUUAUGGAAAAUAUGCUUUUCAUGUCCCCUUGCUUUUUUCCUUGAGCAAUAAAUUCCAUUGUAAAGUCAAA